ensembl:lncRNA
CCAACAUGGAAAGAGCUGAAACUCAGAGCAGACUCAAGCGGAUGUGCACCUCUCUCUAAGCCUCAGGUGCCUCCAAAGAGGCGAUAUGAACCUGCUUCCCAGCGUGUUGGGGGGCAGCACAGGACCAAGGUGGAGAAGCCCAGAUUCAGAGAGUCGUGGUGGCGCUUGCUGCCUGUGGCCGUGUGAGGAUCCACAGGACGAUCCUGGGAAGUUCUUUGCACAGAGAGGUGGCUGAAUCUGGAAGGUGUGAUGCUGGGAUUAAGGGUGUGUGGUUACUAAACCACUACAGGUGAGUGAUUGGUUUGGGACUGCCCUAAUCCUGGCAGUCUGGAUGGGAUAAAGGGGGCAGAAAGGCACUGUUAAGGUCUCGUGUUGCUUUGCUACUUUUGGGCCGCCAUGAACUGUUGCCCCUCUGCCACCCUGCCUUGGAGCCAGCUGAUUAUGCACUGAAACCUCUAUGAACUGUAAGCUGAAUAAACCUUUCUCCUUUUAACUUUGGGUGUCAGAUAUUUUGUCUCAGCCAUGAGAGAAAAGUAACUAACACAGCCCCAUAGCUCUGCAGGGACUGCUCAGCUCCCAGUCAGCUCCCAGGCUCGGGUCCCUGGGCGGUCAGCAACACUGGGCUCCCUAGACAGAGAGCAUCUUACUUGUCUCUGUCUAGCAUUCUCCCUUCUGGCCAGAUCCUUAUUUUCCUUACAGAAUUUAGUUCAGGCGAUUGGGCUGCCCAGAAGUGGGCUGACUCAGAUCUAGCCAAUCAGUGUAAUUUUUUACUCUGGGCCAUGGUGAUUGGUUCCGAAAGGUCAUGUGAGCUAAACUGACGAAUGAGACUUGACCCUCAACGGGGACCUUGAUAAGAAUGGAUGGGAAGAGAGGAAGUGUUGCCUGGCUGGCAGAGAAGGUGGAGGUGAGCCGGGGUACUGGCAUCAGGCUUGUUCCCUCAGGGGAACUUGCUUGAGGGCUGAGCAAGCAGGUGAGGGAAGCAGAUGGGGUGCAAGACUGAGUGCGGGUGACAGAGUUUAAGUCCCUGGAUCCAGAUGUAACUGAAGCCAGCUCUGAGCCACUGUCCCCUCCCCCCAC